rnacentral:rRNA from 1 species
AUUGAACGCUGGCGGCAGGCCUAACACAUGCAAGUCGAACGAGUGGCGGACGGGUGAGUAAUGUCUGGGAAACUGCCCGAUGGAGGGGGAUAACUACUGGAAACGGUAGCUAAUACCGCAUACAAUCGGAUGUGCCCAGAUGGGAUUAGCUAGUGGGUGGGGUAACGGCUCACCUAGGCGACGAGCCCUAGCUGGUCUGAGGGGAGGACCAGCCACACUGGAACUGAGACAGGUUCCAGGCUCCUACGGGAGGCAGCAGUGGGGAAUAUUGCACAAUGGGCGCGAGCCGGAUGCAGCCAUGCCGCGUGUGUGAAGAAGGCCUUCGGGGUGUAAAGUACUUUCAGCGAUGAGGCGUUACUCGCAGAAGAAGCACCGGCUAACUCCGUGCCAGCCGCCGCGGUAAUUC